GAACUCGACUUCGACCUGAGAUCAGACGAGAUUACCCGCUGAAUUUAAGCAUAUCAAUAAG
rnacentral:rRNA from 1 species